CCCUAUUAUUAUUAAAGGAUUUUAUUAGUAUAUAUACUGAAAAUAAAAAUUUUUGGCGGUUAAUUAUUUUUUAGAGGAGCUUGUUAGUUUGUAAGAAUUUACUCUUUAUAUUUUAAUUAAAAUGAGUUUAUUCAUCUCCGUUAUUAAAUAGUUAUUAGUAAAAAUUAUUUUUGUAUUUCAGGUCAAGAUGUAGCAUUUAUUAUUAUUAGUUAGCUACAUUUUUGGAAAAAUGGAUUUUUGAUUCUUAAUUUAAGAAGAAAUUGAAUUUGAUUGUAAUAUUUAUUAGAAAGUUAGUAUGAAUUAAUAUAAUUAAUGUA
rnacentral:rRNA from 1 species